ensembl:lncRNA HCG18 HLA complex group 18
AGUCCAGGCUCCAGGCCCCGGCUCUGGCCAGGCGCCGCCGCCUCCCGGUGCAGCUGAAAGUCGACGAAGAGGGCGGGGCGGGGGCGGCUUGUGGACUUCCACACUUUUCCUCUCUUCGGGCCAGUCUGGGGAGAGGGUGGCUAGCUGUGGCGGCGGCCAAUUACGUGGCGGACCUGCGGGGCUAAGCUGGCACGUCACUUCCGACUAGUGGAGUUUUUAGCCUUUUAACAUUCAAGGAUUAGGUAAAAGUCUUGCAGUGAAAAACCCGAGGACCCUUACCGCAAGUGUCUUUUGCUCCCAGCUACUGAUACUGGAUUCCACUCGUGAUUCUCCCUUUCUUAGCGCAUUCAUGAUAUAGACAUCAGUCUCUGAGCUGGAGGAGGACAAAGGCAGCGGUCCUGUGAAUUCUAUGCUCUAGCUUGGGUUAAGGGAUUUGGAAUUGCACUUGUUUCAGAGAGCUCCCUCUUUGCCCACUAGCAGGGCAUUAGCUGGUGCUGAAGACAGUGGCUGCUUGGCGAGCCUGGAUCUCCAAGUGACCCCCUCAGCAACUCCUGAUGAACAGGUACUGUGUGCAGAAAUGUGAUUGAGAUUCAAGUCAGGGCCUCUCUGCCCUUUUCCCUCCAGAAACAAAACCAAGAUAAUUUAUCCUGAACACGGUGAAAAAAGGAAGGGAGGGAGGAGAAAAAGUCCGGGUCUCACCUGGGAUUCUCUGUCUCCUGCAACAUGAAGGAUUUAGCCUGGGAGGAGGUGGUGAGAACUCUGGGAGAGAAAAAAGAAGGAAAGAAUAGUUUUACCCAUGCUGAAGUUAAUUUAAACCUUCACCUAGAGAAGCAAAAAAAAAAAACCCACACUUUCCCAUUUUGUGCCUCCCUUCCUAGAGUUUUAGCCAAAGGUUUAGCUAAGUAAUUGGUUUUACCAGCGCACUCACUCCUCCUAUCCCAAGUCUGUUUGACUCCCUCCCCAUCAUCCUCCUCACCUCUUUUCAGGCAGGGUGGGGAUAGCAGCAGGAGGAGAUUUUGGGAGCCUGGCAACUCCUGCAAGGACCGCAGGACAGCCCCUCUGUGGGGAUGCGUGGUGCCCCAUCUGCCGCCCUUCUGAAGAAUGCACUGCCUUCACUUUUUACUGUGUUAGAGUCCAUCCAGACUGUUCUAUCCAAAAAAGUUUCUUUUUCCCCCACAGGCAAUCAGGAAAUGAUUCCUUUCCCGACUGCUUCUGUCUAGUGCCUGGGAAUCUUGAGUCAAUCCCUCAGUAAGUCAGUGACUAGGGAAAUCCCUCUCUGAGCCUCCCAGUUCAUGUUGCUUAGGGAACCUGAUAUUUUCGUGAAACCUGCCUACACAUGGGCAGCCCAACAGCAGAACAAAUGGUGGUGACCAAAGUGAACAAAGAAGUAUAGUUGUGCCAGCUUCGUAGUUGCCCAUGUGGACAAGUCAGCAGGAUCAGGACACGAGGAAGAGUAAAUGUGAGACAGUCAAUGUGACUUCUGCGAUAAACAGAUUUUUAAACCCCGAAAUUUUGCAAAAUUUUGGUGAAACCUGAACUUUCUUCGUUGCAUAUACUGGCACUAUCUGUACCAUCAUACAACUGUCUCACAUUAAAGCUAUUUUUCUUGGGCACUGAUGAGUAAGGUUGGUAUAAGUUCCUCAGAUCAACAAAAACCCAUUUUCCUGUAAGUCUUACAUUUAGUAUUUAAGGAACUAAAACUUAAAUACAUUUUGUGAAAUGGUUGACACUUCACUGAUAAUGAUUUAUUGCUUGGAUUAAUAAAUUUUCCAAAAGUUGUCUUAUGUAGAAUAUGGUUUGCAACCAGCAGAACCAUUAAUCUAUACUGCAAUGAUAUGCACUAUGUAUAAUUGUUUAAAAGCCUCUACUUAAUGAUGUAAAAUGCUCUAUUUAAUUACACAUUUGGGUAAACUGUAUACUAACAUCUGAUGGCAUUUUUCCACUGUUUGUUGCUUUUUUCAAAUACUUUAUUGUACAAAGCUGUUCUUAAUAUUUUUCAAGUUUUUUUCUUUGAAUUUUGCUAAUGUUUUCCUUGAAUUAUGAGCACUGACAGAAUGUGCUUAGCACUUUUGGCUAUUCACACAGCUUUUGAGCAUGAUUUGCAUCCAAUAUUUACAUUGCUAGCAAUAAUAAGCCAUCUGUGAGUUUUGUCAAAAGUUAUUGGGGAUUUUUUAAAUUUUAGAAAUGCAAAUUAUUGUUUCUUUGAACUAACUCUUAUGCAGUUGCAAAGGCAUUUCCAGUUGUUAUAGUUUGUGUACAAUAUCAGGUGUUCCAGAUUAUGAUUCAUUAUUAAUAUCAUUGCUUCCUUGUUCCCUCUGAGGUCCAGAAGAUUCAUGUUUACAAUAUUUAGAAACAAUGUUAAAAAGG